ensembl:lncRNA
CAAGCACGGAGGACACACAAAGGAGACAAGGGAAGUUGAACAGAUUUAUUGAAGAGCACAAAUGAAAAGAGGAAUCCGGGUCUGGCCCAGCAGGUCAGAUGCGGCUGAGGUUGCACAGGGAAGUGGGCAAGUAGGCCCGGCAAGCACGAAGGCAGGUGAUACUUUCGGCACGAGUGAAAAAAGGAGCCGUUUGAAACAACUGGGCCGUACGGAGCUCAGACUUCAACCCAAUCCAAAACGUCCGUCUACGAGCCUUCAUCGCACAACUUCGGUGACCGGCCAACAUGUACGGCAAUGUGGCUUUAUUCUCAACGCUGAUAUGUUAGCGUCAGUAAACUGGUAAUAAUUGUGACGGCCUCUGUGUGGUUCAUUGAGGCCACUCUGUGGGAGUGAUACCUCUCUAGUAACCAUCUUUGUCCGGAG